AGAAUCAACGCUGGCGGCGUGCCUAACACAUGCAAGUCGAACGAGAAAGUGGAGCAAUCCAUGAGUAAAGUGGCGCACGGGUGAGUAACACGUGACUAACCUACCCUUGAGUGGGGAAUAACUGAGGGAACCUUAGCUAAUACCGCAUAAUACCUACGGGUCAAAGGAGCAAUUCGCUUAAGGAGGGGGUCGCGGCAGAUUAGCUAGUUGGCGGGGUAAUGGCCAACCAAGGCAGUGAUCUGUA
rnacentral:rRNA from 1 species